UGAGUAACACGUGGGCAAUCUGCCCUGCACUUCGGGAUAAGCCUGGGAAACUGGGUCUAAUACCGGAUAGGACCUUUAGGCGCAUGCCUUUUGGUGGAAAGCUUUUGCGGUGUGGGAUGGGCCCGCGGCCUAUCAGCUUGUUGGUGGGGUGAUGGCCUACCAAGGCGACGACGGGUAGCCGGCCUGAGAGGGUGUCCGGCCACACUGGGACUGAGAUACGGCCCAGACUCCUACGGGAGGCAGCAGUGGGGAAUAUUGCACAAUGGGCGCAAGCCUGAUGCAGCGACGCCGCGUGGGGGAUGACGGCCUUCGGGUUGUAAACCUCUUUCACCAUCGACGAAGGUCCGGGUUUUCUCGGAUUGACGGUAGGUGGAGAAGAAGCACCGGCCAACUACGUGCCAGCAGCCGCGGUAAUACGUAGGGUGCGAGCGUUGUCCGGAAUUACUGGGCGUAAAGAGCUCGUAGGUGGUUUGUCGCGUUGUUCGUGAAAUCUCACGGCUUAACUGUGAGCGUGCGGGCGAUACGGGCAGACUAGAGUACUGCAGGGGAGACUGGAAUUCCUGGUGUAGCGGUGGAAUGCGCAGAUAUCAGGAGGAACACCGGUGGCGAAGGCGGGUCUCUGGGCAGUAACUGACGCUGAGGAGCGAAAGCGUGGGGAGCGAACAGGAUUAGAUACCCUGGUAGUCCACGCCGUAAACGGUGGGUACUAGGUGUGGGUUUCCUUCCUUGGGAUCCGUGCCGUAGCUAACGCAUUAAGUACCCCGCCUGGGGGAGUACGGCCGCAAGGCUAAAACUCAAAGGAAUUGACGGGGGGCCCGCACAA
rnacentral:rRNA from 1 species